rnacentral:rRNA from 1 species
GACAGAGGCCUCAAGCGUUAGGCGGAAUCACUGGGCUUAAAGCGUGUGUAGGCGGAUCGUUAAGUGUCUUGUGAAAUCCCACGGCUCACCCGUGGAACUGCUGGGCAUACUGGCGAUCUUGGGCCAACUAGGGGCAACUGGAACAAGCGGUGGAGCGGUGAAAUGCGUAGAGAUCAGCAGGAAUACCCGUGGCGAAGGCG